rnacentral:rRNA from 1 species
GACGAACGCUGGCGGCGUGCUUAACACAUGCAAGUCGAACGGAAAGGCCCUGCUUUUGUGGGGUGCUCGAGUGGCGAACGGGUGAGUAACACGUGAGUAACCUGCCCUUGACUUUGGGAUAACUUCAGGAAACUGGGGCUAAUACCGGAUAGGAGCUCCUGCUGCAUGGUGGGGGUUGGAAAGUUUCGGCGGUUGGGGAUAGACUCGCGGCUUAUCAGCUUGUUGGUGGGGUAGUGGCUUACCAAGGCUUUGACGGGUAGCCGGCCUGAGAGGGUGACCGGCCACAUUGGGACUGAGAUACGGCCCAGACUCCUACGGGAGGCAGCAGUGGGGAAUAUUGCACAAUGGGCGGAAGCCUGAUGCAGCAACGCCGCGUGCGGGAUGACGGCCUUCGGGUUGUAAACCGCUUUCGCCUGUGACGAAGCGUGAGUGACGGUAAUGGGUAAAGAAGCACCGGCUAACUACGCG